GUACGGGAGGCAGCAGUCGAGAAUUUUUCACAAUGGGGGAAACCCUGAUGGAGCGACGCCGCGUGGGGGAUGAAUGGCUUCGGCCCGUAAACCCCUGUCAUUCGCGAUCAAACCUUGUUAUUUAAAAGAUGACGAGCUGAUAGUAGCGGAAGAGGAAGGGACGGCUAACUCUGUGCCAGCAGCCGCGGUAAUACAGAGGUCCCAAGCGUUGUUCGGAUUCACUGGGCGUAAAGGGUGCGUAGGUGGCGAAGUAAGUCGGAUGUGAAAGCUCGGAGCUCAACUCCGAAAUGGCAUUGGAAACUACUUUGCUCGAGGAUUGGAGGGGGGACUGGAAUACUUGGUGUAGCAGUGAAAUGCGUAGAUAUCAAGUGGAACACCAGUGGCGAAGGCGAGUCCCUGGACAAAUCCUGACACUGAGGCACGAAAGCUAGGGGAGCAAACAGGAUUAGAUACCCCGGUAGU
rnacentral:rRNA from 1 species